GUCUUCCAGUUGGCCUAUGUAAUGGUGGAGGUAGGAUUUCAUAUCCAGGCUGCCAUGAAAAACAAGUUAUGGUUAAUCCAUGUUUUAAUCUACUCAUUACUUAUUGUUAUAGUUAAAAAUACUUACAACAUCCCAUUCAUGAUCAUUUGGAAUAGGUAACACAACAAGUUCAUAGGCUUUCCUGUAAGCUUUCACUGUUAGAGUCAUGGCAAAAGCUACAAAAAAAAAUUGAAUUAGUAAAUUCAACCAUCUAAUAAAACUGUCAGAGUCCUAAAAAUUAUACCAUUUACCUGGGUAUGUGCAUCCUUCUCUGCUGCAUAACACUAAUAGCAUGGCAACAAGGUGUUCCAGUCAAUUGCCAUCGACAACACUCACAAGUCCUUCUAUGCAUAUCAAUUGUCCAUCUAGCACUACCACCACUAUUCAGUGAUACUAAAAACUUAUGGUCAUCAGCAUUACAAUACUGAUAUUCAUGGAUAGAUUUCUUCAAUUUUUCUAUUACUUUUUGCAUCCUAGGCACCACAUCAUUUGGAUCCAUUCUCCUAACCUUGUUCAAUCUUCUUCUCAUGUGAGUCAUGAUUAAGAGAUAAUACUCCUCAACAAACCUGAUAAGUGUUUUAUCCCUGAGACAAAACAAGUUUGAAAUUCAUAUCCCCAUGAGUAGUAAGAAUAAACAUAGGAAAAAAAAAUUAGAAAAAUAUUGUUUCUAUUGUUUUACCUGAGUUCCAUGAUGAAAUUGUUGAAGCUUUCACUGAAGUUGUUAGUUAUAUGCUCACAGGUUGUUGUAGUAUCAAACUGGCUCCUACAAAAGUGAAUCAACUGUCUCUUCAAGAGCAAACAUGAGAUGUCUUGUGUAUAUUUUUCAGAUUUUCCAUCCAUUUCAUGCAAUCACUCUUUCUGUAAGCUCUUGUUGCUCCCCAAGCUAGUGACUCUAAAUGCUUCCCCCCUUUCACAUCUUUCUUAAAAUUCUUGUAUAAGUGUCUAAAGCACAGUCUAUGGUUUGCAUCAGGAAACACAUCUCCAAGUACCCUUUCAAGUCCCUUUUGCUGAUCUGACAUGAAAGUCUGUUUCCCCUCUUUGCAGUCAAGAAUAGGGUGCAAAAGUGUUAAGUAAUCAAACCAUGACUCAAAGUUUUCCUUCCUACAUAUGUAAAUAGCUAUAGGGUAGGGGCCAUUGUUUCCAACAAGUGCAACAAUACUCAAACACAUUCCACCAUAUUUACCUUUCAAAUGGCAGCUAUCAAGUACAGGAAUAGGCAUGCAGGCAGUUAUCCAACCUUUGAGAGAAAUACCAAAAGAUAUACAUAAUGCUUUAAACAAUCCAUCAUCAGGAUCCAUAGUACAAGUGUCUAUGCUCCCAGGGUUAUGCUUCAACACUUGCAUACAAGAUGAUGGCCCCAAAGAGUAACUCCUCUCGUAAUUGCCAUUGAUCUUUUCCAUAAUUUUUUCCUUUGCAUACCAAGCCACAUAAUAUGACACCUUGACUCCAUAAAGUCUCCAUACUUCCAUUCUCAUGUCAGUAGCCAGUAGGCUUUAUAAUCUUAUGUUGUGUCCUCAUUGUAUCUGUGAGCUUCUUUGUCACCCAGUCUGAGUCAGCAUGCUUGUUGUAGUAGUUUGUGUUGCUCCUACAGUUCUUACUGUGUUCAUUAUUUAAGGUUUUCAACACCAUAGUUAUCCUGUCUUUUUUCUCACUUCUUGCUGAACUUGCAUAAAAUAGCCAUUCGCAAUCAUCACCAUUGCACUUAGCUCUCAACCUGCCAGGCUCAUUAGGAUCUGCAUCAUAUUCAAAUUUCUUGCUGAUAGUAUAAUCCUUCAAGUAAUCCCUGCAGUCUUCAAUUGUUGGCCAACUCAUCUUUAAUUUUGGGUCUUUAACUUCAAAUUUCAUAGUUGGAUGCUCAUGUCAGUGUUCAGGCCCAAAAACAUCUUUAGUUUCUUGCUCAUACUCAUCAUAUGGUAAUUUUGUAUCUUCAUCAGAUGAUUCAAGUGACCUAUAACCUUCCUCUGCAUUUAUCUCAUCAAGUUUGUCUUCUCCAUCAUCAUACAACUAUGUAUCCAAGUCUAGUUGCUCCUCAGGCAACUUGUUGAUAUCAACAGGUGGAGGUGUUUCACCUUUCUUCCAAGCUUUAUUCUUAUUGUUGUUUCUCUUCUUAGUAAGUCAGUUCUCAACUUCAAUAUCAUUAUCAACUUCUUCUGCAGAUUGAGGUGAUGGAGUUCUAAAUUCUUCUCCAACAUCAAGAUGCAUAUAAUCUGCAUACUCAUCAUCACCAGUUGCAUUCCUUCUUGUUUGCUUUCUCUUUGGUUUAUUUCUUCUAUCCUUCUUAGACAUUUUCUUCUUCAUAGUUGGUUCUUCAGCAUCAGGAGACACAAGUGGAUCACUAGGCAAUAAGAUUUGGUAAGCUUCUUCAAGUGGAUCUAUCAUUAUUGAUUGUUGUUUUGUUCUUUUUCUUAGUCUUCUUUCUUUUCUUACUUUAGUGUUUCAUUGUUGGCAGGGGUAGGCAACACAAGUUCAUCUUCAGCAAACACAUCAACAGAUUCUUCACCAAUGGAUGCACCAAUCACUUCAAUGUCACUGUCACCUUCAAUAUUAUUGUCACCUUCAGCAUUUUUAUUCUGUGCCUGACUCUUUUGCAGCCAUCUAAUGUUCCAUCUAUUCCCAACAACACCAUCAUCUAUUAUUGUCUCCAAAACAGGGUCAUUAAAUGUAACCCUCUUGUUCUUCUUCCUUGGACUUUUUCUCACUUCACUAACUGCCUUCUUUAACCUUGUUGGCCUUGUUGGUUUUCUUUUCAUUCACUUUUCUCUUCUUCAUAUAAUAACUCUUCUUCUUCUUGUUCAUAAUCUCCAUCUUGUUGAUCAAUAACAAUUGCAGAACUUGCACCUUCAUGUAGAGCAUGUGUAUUAAAUUUCAUACUCACAACAAAGUUGGUGAAAAUGUUAACCAAACCUGUAAUGUCUACACAGGUUUCUUCCCAAAAGAGCCUCAGAACAUCUAAGUUACACAACAACUCCAUCCUCAAACCACCAUCCAAAUACAUCAUAUCCUCAUCUUUAUCAAGUUCAGCAAUAGAAUUUUC
rnacentral:lncRNA from 1 species